rnacentral:rRNA from 1 species
AUUGAACGCUGGCGGCAGGCCUAACACAUGCAAGUCGAGCGGAUGAAGGGAGCUUGCUCCUGGAUUCAGCGGCGGACGGGCGAGUAAUGCCUAGGAAUCUGCCUGGUAGUGGGGGAUAACGUCCGGAAACGGGCGCUAAUACCGCAUACGUCCUGAGGGAGAAAGUGGGGGAUCUUCGGACCUCACGCUAUCAGCUGAGCCUAGGUCGGAUUAGCUAGUUGGUGGGGUAAAGGCCUACCAAGGCGACGAUCCGUAACUGGUCUGAGAGGCUGAUCAGUCACACUGGAACUGAGACACGGUCCAGACUCCUACGGGAGGCAGCAGUGGGGAAUAUUGGACCAUGGGCGAAAGCCUGAUCCAGCCAUGCCGCGUGUGUGAAGAAGGUCUUCGGAUUGUAAAGCACUUUAAGUUGGGAGGAAGGGCAGUAAGUUAAUACCUUGCUGUUUUGACGUUACCAACAGAAUAAGCACCGGCUAACUUCGUG